rnacentral:lncRNA from 1 species
UGGGGUUUCACCGUGUUAGUCAGGAUGGUCUUGAUCUCCUGAUCUAGCGAUCCACCCACCUUGGCCUCCCAAAGUUCAGGGAUUACAGGUGUGAGCCACCAUGUCUGGCCUGAAAUAUUUUUAAAAAAGAAAUAUUUGGUCAUUCAGAUUGGCAAACAGAUUUUUUAAAUAAAAUUGUGAUAAAAUACACAUAAAUCUAAGAAAGUAAACAGGUGAAGGAAAGAAUAUGGCUUGAUAAAUCAAUUAGGAAAUAGAUUUCAUUAGGAAGAUGCCCUAGAGGUUAGCCGUCACAGGCCUUGACUAGUAAUGCUGCCCACUGAACAUAAAAUAUAAUGGCUUUGGACAGAAAAGUAUCAUGUAGGUGGAUCAGAAAAGGGUUGUAUAAAGCAAUACAGUAAGAGGGAAUAGAAUAAUUUUAAGGUCACCUGGCUGAUGUAUUGACAGUGCCAGGAAUUAAGAGCAAGGGAUAUAGUAUUCAGCUCUAGUACCAUAUACAACCUUCUGGCCAGGAGCUCUUUCAAUGACUGAGCAGGGACUUAGAAGGCUGAAGAUGAACAUAUAUAUCCAGUUACUUUUCUUUCACAAGCUUCUGUGGAAACAGAAACAACUCAGGACAUUUCAAAUGAGCCAAUAGUCUUUAUUGAAUACACAAAACAUAUUCAUCCAAGUUCUAGGUUUUAAAGAUUAUAAUUAAGUUUAUACAGUGAUAUAUAGUCAAGAACAAAGUUUUACAUCUUAUAAAAACAUGCAGUCAUAUCUUAACACAAUAUUAUGAUGUUUCCAUAUCUUGUGGUAUUGCCAUGGGAAAACAUAAAUUUGUUGUUGUAAGUUUACUGCAAAAUCAGCUGUCAGAUAAGCCUUAAUUUAAAGAUAAUUAGCUUUUUUUUUGUAAUUGGAAACAUGAGGAGAAUGUGUAAAAUACCCCAAAGGAAACAGACCCAGUUGGCAGAGUAAAUUAGUUUUGAUUUACAUGAGAUUUUAUAUGCCUAGAGAUUUUGGUAUGAAAAAAACUAAACUUCCAAAAUCCUAAAACAAUUUUAGUUCAUUUUAUUUCUUCUGUUUACCUAACAUUGAUUUAUUGCUUUUUAUUGCUAUCUCAACUACCCCAAGCCUUUAAAAAGCUGCCUUAUCAUCUCUCUAUGGUCAUUAGACUUUGCAAAAGAAGAAUUAAAUUCUAUAUGGUAGAAGGUGUUGGUAAUUUUCAAAUUAUAUUGCAGUGGCUUCAUUUUAUGACAAAUAUAAGAAUAAAAAUCAUCUAAUUGGACUGGAAAUUCAUGAUUAUUAUUGGUUAUGUGUUCCUGAGCCCUAGAAUGACAUUCUACUGUGACCACACAAUCCCUAAACAGGAGGUAAAUGAAUUCUUUUCAAGGCAAUCAACCCCAUAUUUAUUCUGUGAAAAUCCUGGAAAUUCUGGCCAUUUUUAUCAACAUUCUUCCUCAUUUGCUAUGUGUUAGUCUCCAGUGGGGUUUCCAGGUGAACAAGUCCCUAAGGAGCUCAAUCAAGUGGGGAAAGAGUCACACAUAUCAACGUUUCACAGCUAAAAUGAUUUGGUGACAGUGAAUACAAUGUGGAGCACAGAGAACAGAGUGACAAAUAACGGCAUUUUCUGAGGUCUCACUGUUGCCCAAGCUGGAUUGCAAUGGCAUCAUCCUAGUUCCCUGCAGCCUGGAACUCCUGAGCUAAAGCAAUCCAUCCGCCUUAGCCUCCUGAGUAGCUGGAACUACAGGCAUGUGCCACCACGCCUCAUUUUUGUAUUUAGGUUGGGCAUUUUAAAAUCUGUCAUCUGUUUUCAACAGUAUUUCUGCAAACUGUGUGUUUAUGUCUACCUAUUUUUAUUUGCUGUUUUUCUGUAUUGAUUUAUGAAAAGUUAUAUAUUAAAAACUUUAUAUAUUGUAUAUAAACAUGUUUUGCAAGCUUUUUUUAGUUUGUCUUUUGACUUUUCUCAUGAUAUAUAUUUUUAAUAUCCUAAAUAUUAUUU